UAAAGUGUUUCCAACUCCAGCCAAUCCCAGGGAAGGCAGGAGGGCACUCCUCCAAUGGGAACCCGAGAGCGGUCAGUAGCUGUGGAGGCCUGCUAACCCGCUCGUUCUCCAGCCGACUGGAGGGACGCGUUCAGUGUGUUCACUAGAUCCAGCCGUCGGUCCCUCUAAUCUGCUUGCGCUCGGCAGCGGCGACGCGGAUGGCAGGAGGUGUCUGGUCAGCAGGUUGCUGAGGAUCCUGCGGGUAGCAAAGGGAGGGCGAGUGCCCCUGCGGCCCCAGACAGCAACCAGAACACGCAUCACUGUUAGAACCAUCACCCUGCAGCUAGCUUGGACACCAUUAAAAGGGCUCA